GGCGGGAAUGAUAGCGUUCUUGAUUGAAGAAGAUGUAUAUUAUUUAAUCAAUGAUGUCAUACGUAUUUCUUCUCUUCUUCUCGCAAGCUUUUGUAUUCUUACCAAAAUUAUCACCCUUGUGCAUAAGUAUAGAAUGAGUAAUGACUCAUUACUUUGUUUAUUUAUCAAUAAUAAUAAAUUAUGAACUAGGCAUGAUUUAUCGAGGGAAAAAGAAAAGGGACAGCAGACAACAAAUUUUUGUGUUAGCGAGGUACGCUGUGAUUCAUAUACUAAAGGCAAUACAUAUGAAUAUGAAAUGAUAAUCAUUGGGAAGGUAAUGAUCGUCAGCGAGUGUACUUGGAAGCUCAAUUACUAAGGCAUGAACUGUCCAGCUUAGUAAGACUUAAAUGACCAGAACUUGAUGAACAUCAGGCUUUUAUCAAUUUGAUCUGCAGUUGGUACAAUAUUUUCUCAUCAAGAAAAAAAUAUACGGAAAAGCUUAAGUGCGCUUACGGUGGAUAUCAUUAUUCAUUACAUUGAGCAAAAAAUAUUUUAGAAAAAAGAAGGAGGAUCAUUACUUCUAAAGCUCUACUUAUGUUUCCCUACCUACAAGAUAAAUAUGGGGUAGAAUUUAUAAUUAUGUCUCGUUAUAAUCAGGAUUCGAUAGAACAUUUGUUUUCUCGCUUGACUUGUAAUGCUGGGUAAGUAAGCAGAAUUUGCUGUUCCCUCUGCUCUUGUUAUAUGUAGAAACGUUGUCGGGGAAAAAUGUUAAGAUAAAAAAAAAAGUCUCUUAAUGGAAAAAAUGGCAAGAUUCUUUUAAACUGAUAAAAUAUCUAUUACUAAUAUGAAAUAUCAUAUAUUGAUAUAUAAUAAGAGAAAAGAAAAAUAAACUAUCACGGCAUUGGUUCUAAUGGGAGGAGUGAUAAUCACUUAAUUCUCCGUUAUUAAGUACAAUAUCAUUAGACAUGAUGGACUAUUCAUAUUGGACAAACCCUUGGAUUGACGGACAAUUAUUCUCAAAAUACUAGGCAAGAGCUGGAGGAUUCGGGCAGGUAGUCAAAGGUCGAGUCGUUGGAGAGUGCGAGGAAAACUGUAAAACUCAGUACAGUUGGAGCAAUCUGAAAUUGUAAUAGAACGAUGGUCUUCGUCUCUUCAUAAACCUUCUUUCUUGCCCAAAGUGAACGAAACAGGCUGCAUUACGUAGUUAUCUAAAGGACUCAAAUUAUCGAAGUUUUUAUCUAGAACUGUGAAUUCAUACUUCCAAUGUAUCAAGCCAAGUAUGAGAACCAUAAAAAGUGAGUUAUAGGUUCUUUCAACAAAUUUUUAAGUGUAUUUUUCUAGUAUGAUACUAUGACAAUUGAAUAUGUAACUACGUUUGUAA
rnacentral:lncRNA from 1 species